rnacentral:tRNA from 1 species
GCCCCUGUAGCUCAAUGGAUCGAGCAAGGGACUUCUAAGCCCGAGAUGGGGGUUCGAUUCCCUCCAGGGGCA